AGGCAACCCCCAUUCUUAAAAAAGAUGUAGAAAGGGAGGUGUUUAUCUGUUCGUACAAUAAAUCUUUAAACUCUUCAGACUUGCUGAGAUUUUAUAAUCUAUGAAGUUGGUCUAGUAAGGUGAAGUAUAUU